rnacentral:rRNA from 1 species
GGUUGGGUGUUCCAUCUCUGACCCGAGGCCAGCUACCCGAGCUUUGGCUCCCAAACUACGACCCCAGAUCUGAGGUGGUGGCUCGCUGAAUUUAAGCAUAUUACUAAGUGGAGGGAAAGAAACUAAGCAGGAUUCACUCAGUAAUGGCGAGUGAAGAGGGAUUAGCUUAGGGCUGAAUCCCUUUCUGGUGGCAGAUGUGGGAAAAGUGGCGCACAGAAGACGACCCCCUGUCAGGCCCAAGUAAUUUUGAUCAAGGCUCACCCUGUGGACGAUGUUAGGACCAGUAGUGUCCCUCUGCGUGCUGGGAUUGGGUAUUCUCAGAGUUGGGUUGCUUGGGAAUGCAGCCCAAAGUGGGUGGUAAUCUCCAUUUACAGCUAAAUACAGGCAUGAAACAGAUAGCCAACAAGUACUGUAAGGGUAAAGUUGAAAAGAAGUUUCAAAAGAGAGUUCAAGAGGGCAUGUUACCGUCGUCGAGAGGUAAAUGGGUGGGGUCCAUGCAGUCCUCCCGGAGGAUUGAACACAGUGGGCAGGUCGGUUGCCCGGAUGGGCCGAUCCCCUCUCAGCACUGCUGCCCGGCACAACUGGCCCCUGCAGAGUGCAUUCUGUCUGUGGUGCUGCACUGCAACCGGCUAAAGGUCGGCUGGGAAGGCCCUGGAGGGUAGGUGGCUCUCCUCUGUGGCGGAGAGUGUUACAGCCCCAUUGCAGCAGUUUUGCCAUGUUCGCAGAGCCAAGGUAGAUUGACAGUUGCCACGCCCUCCUCUGGCAACUGUACAUGCCCAUCUCGGUGGUCGCUGGGGCCCCCUGCUCUCAGUGCAACUGUGGACUGGGGUGGACUGUCUUCACUGUGCCCUGACCACAUUGCACUGACAGGCAGGGAGGCCGAUGAAGGGUGCCAGGGGUCUGCAGUGAUGUCGGUUACUCACUCGACCCGUCUUGAAACAUGGACCAAGGAGUCUAAAAUGUGCGCGAGUCAAAGGGCCGAACAAAACCUUGUGAUGCAAUGGAUUCCAUCACAGCGGGUGUACCACCGACCUGUCAGGUGGAGCAUGAGCAUGUGUGUUAAUCCUGAAAGAUAGGGAACUAUGCCGGAGCAGGGUGAAGCCAGGGGAAACUCCGGUGGAGAUCCAUAGCGGUUCUGACGUGCACAUCGGUCAUUCAACCUGGGUAUAGUGGUGAAAGACUAAUCAAACCAUCUAGUUGAUGGAUCCCUCAGAAGUUUCUCUCAGGAUAGCUAGUGCUCAGAAACCACAGUUUUAUCUAGUUAUGCAAAUGAUUAUAGAUCUUGUGGCCGAAACAAUCUCAAUCCGUUAUCAAACUUUAAAUGGGUAAGAGGCCCAGCUGGCUGGUGUGGAGCCGGCAAUCAAAUGUGAGUGCCCAGUGGGCCACUUUUGGUAAGCAGAAAUGGAGCUGUAGGAUGAACCAAACUCUGGUGAAGGCACCCGAUGCCGAAGCUCAUCAGAACCCAGAAAAUGCAUUGGUUGAUAUAGGCGCAGGACGGUGUCCAUGGAAGUCAAAAUCCGCUAUGGUGUGUGUAACAACUCACCUGCUGAAUCAACUAGCCCUGAAAAUGGAUGGCUCUGGAGCAUCAGGCCCAUACCCGGCCUCGCAGGUGCUGAAAGUAGCAGGGCUAAGCCGCGAUGAAUGGGCGGGCCAUUGCAGUGUGCACAGUAGCCUGGACAAGGGCCUGUGUAGAGCUGCUGUGGGUGCAGAUCUUAGUAGUAAUAGCCAAUAUUCAAAAGAGAACUUUGAAGGCUGAAGUGGAGAAGGGUUCCAUAUGAACAGCAGUUGAACACGGGUCAGUGGCUCCUAAGAGAUGGGCAAGCACCAUUCGGAAGGGACAGACGAUAUCCUCUGUUGCCCGUAGUCGAUCGAAAGGGAGUCGGGUUCAGAUCCCCAAACCCUGAGUGGUGGAGAUGGGUGCCCUCACAACCUCCAGUGUGAGAAUGCAAACAAUCCUGGAGAAUCCCUGGGCAGAGUUCUCUUUUCUUUGUGAAAGGCAUGGCAGUGUUUAAUAGGUUUGCUUCAAGCGAGAGGCCGAGCAUUGUAAAGUGCUGUGUUUCAAGCAGCGUCUGGUGAGCUCUUGUUGGUCCUUGAAAAUCCAGUGAAGAUGGUGUAAAUUUUGCGCUGGGCCGUGUCCAUUUCCACAGCAGGUCUCCAAGGUUAACAGUCUUUGGCACGUAGCAACAAUGGAGGUAAGGGAAGUCGGCAAGACAGAUCCGUAGCUUCAGGAUAAGGAUUGGCUCUAAGGGUUGUGUCGGUCGGGCUGGGUCACAAAGCGGGGCUAGGCGCGUGCCACGGCUGUAUGAGGCGUAUCCCCCCAAGGGGUGGCACUGGCUCUGCCCGGGUUCAGGGAUGCCGUUGUGCCUCAGCCAACACCUAGCAGCUCGCUUACAACUGGUGCAGACCAGGGGAAUCCGACUGUUUAAUAGAAAAUAAGCAUUGUGAAGGCCUGCAGCGGUUGUUGACGCAAUGUGAUUUCUGCCCAGUGCUCUGAAUGUUAAAGUGAAGAAAUUCAAUAAAGUGCAGGUAAACGGAGGGAGUAACUAUGACUCUCUUAACCUUUCUCAAUCAUAGUGACUCUGACCUCUACAUGGUGCUGCUGGUAGGUAUCCCUGUUAAAUGAGUCCUGUAUAGGAGCAGUCUGUAAGGGGAUCGGCUAAAAGGUUAUAACACCUCCAUCUAUGCUGACCAUGGUCUGGUAGCUAGAUGUACCAAUGAGAAAUGGUGAAAUAAAAUGCAAACAAUUCCAGAUGAGGUAUUUCCUGGUUAAACCUUGUUAGGAAGUUGAGUUUGCUUCCAUUCAUAAAACCAAACCCUGCACCAGUUUUGAAUGAGGAACAAUGAACUGAGAGGAUGCAGACACAGAUGAGCAUUGUAAAUCGCUUGCAAGACACGCUCAACCACUUAGUCUAAUUGGGGAUCUGCAAAGCAUCACGAUUUCCAGCUACAGGUAAGACGGGGAUUGAUAGAGUUCCUUAUAAAGGGUGACUAUGCAAAGAUGGACACUAGCAAUGGAAAGAAGACUGCCAAGAUAUGAAUCAUAUUGAACACUCCAGGGAUGCAUGCCAGAUUUAGGACCUGUGAUGAGCUCCGGAGUCUGGAUCUAAUGGUGGUCACAGCCAUGGAGGGAUAAAUGUACCCGUAAACCAUGCUCUCUCCAAGCUGACACCUAAAUUGAUUCUAUUGAGGGAUCUGGAAUCUGACUCUGAACUGUCAUUUGGAUGAUUGUGUUGGACCGUGACUCCAUCUGGGCGCAUGCCCUCGUAU